rnacentral:misc_RNA from 1 species
GAUGAAGAACGUAGCGAAAUGCGAUAAGUAGUGUGAAUUGCAGAAUUCAGUGAAUCAUCGAAUCUUUGAACGCACAUUGCGCCCUUUGGUAUUCCUUAGGGCAUGCCUGUUCGAGCGUCAUUUAACCCCUCAAGCUAAGCUUGGUGUUGGGUGACUGUCCGCUUCACGGCGGACUCGCCUCAAAAUUAUUGGCGGCCGGUACAUUGGCUUCGAGCGCAGCAGAAACGCGAACUCGGGCCCGUCGUAUUGGCUCCCAGAAGCUAUCUUCACAAUUUUGACCUCGGAUCAGGUAGGGAUACCCGCUGAACUUAAGCAUAUCAAUAAGCGGAGGA